AGUCGUAACAAGGUUUCCGUAGGUGACCUGCGGAAGGAUCAUUAUUGAAUUUUUGGGAAGGGGGUUGUAGCUGGCCUUUCGAGGCACGUGCACGCCCCUGUCCAAAUUCCACCUUUUACCCCCUGUGCACUUUGUGUAGGCCGAGAAAUCGGUCUAUGUUUCUUUACACACCAAAAGAAUAUGGAAUGUUUUAUGUAGGCUUUUAAUAAAGCUGAAAUAAUCAUACAACUUUCAACAACGGAUCUCUUGGCUCUCGCAUCGAUGAAGAACGCAGCGAAAUGCGAUAAGUAAUGUGAAUUGCAGAAUUCAGUGAAUCAUCGAAUCUUUGAACGCACCUUGCGCUCCUUGGUAUUCCGAGGAGCAUGCCUGUGUUGAGUGUCAUUAAAUUCUUCAACUUUGCCAGGUUUGUUUCGAACCUUGUGCGAAGCUUGGAUUUGGAGUGUGCUGGCUCUCACGAGUUGGCUCCUCUUGAAUGCGUUAGCGAAACCUUACAAAGGGGGAUAGGCUUUGAUUUGAUAGCUAUCUAUGUCAUCGCCGUGAUACCUCGCAUAUCAAUAUUUGGUUCGCUAUCAAUAAGCGGAGGAGCAUAUCAAUAAGCGGAGGACAAUCACUCGUUUUUGACAUUGACCUCAAAUCAGGUAG
rnacentral:rRNA from 1 species